rnacentral:tRNA from 2 species
GGUAGUGUGGCCGAGUGGUUAAGGCGCUGUGUUCAGGCCGCAGUCUUCGGGCGCGGGUUCGAAUCCCGUCGCUGCCA